rnacentral:lncRNA from 1 species
CAGAAAGAAGUAAAGAAAAGAUAUAUAGGAAUAAAGAAAGGAAAAAGCUCAGAUGCAAAAGCCAGCUUGCACCUCUACUUUGAACCAGUGUUCCAGCCCUGCCCCUUCUCAAGCGGCACAUCAGUUGGAAGUAGCUGCAGGAUUGUCAAUGAAGGUUGGAGUGUUAGGUCCAAAGCAGUCCCCCAGAACAGCAGUGCUGGUGACAGUGUUCUAAACUGAAGGACUUUGACCAGGUCAUGGCACAAGGAGGCUGGAACUCUAGUGGGAAGUCUGACAAGACCUUGGGCUGGUUUACAGGCACCUGCCAGCAGUGUCAGCUGCUCAACUGUGGCCCCCAUCACAAAGCCACAAAUUCUAGCCACCCCAGGGAGUCCUCUGCCUCCUCCUAAGCCUCCAUGGGCAGAUUUUCAGUCAUUCAGUGGGUUGCUUUUUCC